rnacentral:lncRNA from 1 species
GAGCCACAGAGGUAUAUUAUCACAGUAAUGUGAUGCAGCAGUAAAAGCUACGUGCGUACAUGUAGAAGCAGCAAAUGGGUAGGCUACGUGAGUACACGUAGAAAUAGCAAAUGGAUAGACAAACUAUAAGGUAUACAAUACUGCCUACAUGCACCGUAUAUCUAACAGCCUGGAACCCAAGAGUAUGACAGCAAAAUGAAUUAUGAUUGAGGAGUAAAUGUCAAGCCUACAGAUAGUAUCUAAACAGAUGAUAGACAGACUACAAAAAGCAAAGGAGCAUAUAGAGGGG